AGCGGCGGACGGGUGAGUAACGCGUAGGAAUCUACCUAGUAGAAGGGGAUAGCCCGGGGAAACCCGGAUUAAUACCGUAUACCUCCUUCGGGAGAAAGAAGGCCUCUCUUUGAAGCUUUCGCUACUAGAUGAGCCUGCGUAAGAUUAGCUUGUUGGUGAGGUAAAGGCUCACCAAGGCUACGAUCUUUAGCUGGUCUGAGAGGACGAUCAGCCACAUUGGGACUGAGACACGGCCCAGACUCCUACGGGAGGCAGCAGUAGGGAAUCUUAGACAAUGGGGGCAACCCUGAUCUAGCCAUGCCGCGUGUGUGAUGAAGGCCCUAGGGUCGUAAAGCACUUUCGCCAGAGAUGAUAAUGACAGUAUCUGGUAAAGAAACCCCGGCUAACUCCGUGCCAGCAGCCGCGGUAAUACGGAGGGGGUUAGCGUUGUUCGGAAUUACUGGGCGUAAAGCGCACGUAGGCGGAUUAGUAAGUUAGAGGUGAAAUCCCAGGGCUCAACCCUGGAACUGCCUUUAAUACUGCUAGUCUUGAGUUCGAGAGAGGUAAGUGGAAUUCCGAGUGUAGAGGUGAAAUUCGUAGAUAUUCGGAGGAACACCAGUGGCGAAGGCGGCUUACUGGCUCGAUACUGACGCUGAGGUGCGAAAGUGUGGGGAGCAAACAGGAUUAGAUACCCUGGUAGUCCACACCGUAAACGAUGAAUGCCAGACGUCAGCAAGUAUACUUGUUGGUGUCACACCUAACGGAUUAAGCAUUCCGCCUGG
rnacentral:rRNA from 1 species